rnacentral:rRNA from 1 species
GGGAGGAAGGUGGGGAUGACGUCAAGUCCUCAUGGCCUUUAUGUCCAGGGCUACACACGUGCUACAAUGGGUUGUACAAAGGGUUGCGAACUCGCGAGAGUAAGCCAAUCCCAAAAAGCAACUCUUAGUUCGGAUUGGAGUCUGCAACUCGACUCCAUGAAGCUGGAAUCGCUAGUAAUCGUGGAUCAGCAUGCCACGGUGAAUACGUUCCCGGGCCUU